AGGAGCGGCGGUGAGAAGAAAGAUAUGAAAAGAGGGUCAAAGAGAGAUGGUUUUGUUUUGUGAGUUUGGUAAACAAACAAAGGAAAAAAGAGUACCGUUUUCCCUGUAGGCCCUUGACCGCGUUGAUCGCCGCUCAUCUUGCGAGGAGCAAAAAAAAACCUUUAUGGAGCAAAAGCAUGUCUUGUGAGUAAAGGUAAAGUGUGAACUGGGAUGAUGCAGAAACCCAAGACAAAUUGGCGGGCCAGCUUUUGUCCUUCUAACACACCGCGAGACAAUCAUUCAAACUAACCCAACAAAUAAAAUAAAAGGGGAAAAUCGCAUAAAAAAAAAACCUUGAAAGUGUCAUUUACUAGCACUUUAAACCUUGAAUUUUUUUCACUAACACUUUUAACCUUCAAAGUGACAUUUUUAUCAUAAAAAACCUCCAAAAAAAAAAAUGACCGGCUGAACAUGUUAAAAACAGUUUUUUUUUCAAAAAAUAAUUAUUUAAUUAAUAAAAUAAACAAAACAAUUAAUAAAAA